GACGAACGCUGGCGGCGUGCCUAAUACAUGCAAGCCGAGCGGACCGAUGGGAGCUUGCUCCUUUAGGUUAGCGGCGGACGGGUGAGUAACACGUGGGCAACCUGCCCUGCAGACUGGGAUAACUUCGGGAAACCGGAGCUAAUACCGGAUAACACCGAAAACCGCAUGGUUUUCGGUUGAAAGGCGGCUUUUAGCUGUCACUGCAGGAUGGGCCCGCGGCGCAUUAGCUAGUUGGUAAGGUAACGGCUUACCAAGGCGACGAUGCAUAGCCGAGUUGAGAGACUGAUCGGCCACAUUGGGACUGAGACACGGCCCAA
rnacentral:rRNA from 1 species